rnacentral:rRNA from 1 species
AGAGUUUGAUCCUGGCUCAGGAUGAACGCUAGCGGCAGGCUUAAUACAUGCAAGUCGUGGGGCAGCAGGGGUGUAGCAAUACACUCGCUGGCGACCGGCAAACGGGUGCGGAACACGUACGCAAUCUACCCAAAACUGGUGAAUAGCCCUCCGAAAGGAGGAUUAAUACACCGUAACCUAUUGAAGUGGCAUCACUUUAUUAGUAUAGCUCCGGCGGUUUUGGAUGAGCGUGCGGCUGAUUAGAUAGUUGGCGGGGUAACGGCCCACCAAGUCUGCGAUCAGUAACUGGUGUGAGAGCACGACCAGUCACACGGGCACUGAGACACGGGCCCGACUCCUACGGGAGGCAGCAGUAAGGAAUAUUGGUCAAUGGACGCAAGUCUGAACCAGCCAUGCCGCGUGGAGGAUGAAGGCCCUCUGGGUUGUAAACUUCUUUUAUCUGGGACGAAACCCUCAUAUUCUUAUGAGACUGACGGUACCAGAGGAAUAGGCACCGGCUAACUCCGUGCCAGCAGCCCGCGGUAAUACGGAGGGUGCAAGCGUUAUCCGGAUUCACUGGGUUUAAAGGGUUGCGUAGGAGGGCANGUAAGUCAGUGGUGAAAUCUCCAAGCUUAACUUGGAAACUACCGUUGAAUACUAUCUNGUCUUUGAAAUAUUG